GACGAACGCUGGCGGCGUGCCUAACACAUGCAAGUCAACGAGAAAGGGGUAGCAAUAUCCCGAGUAAAGUGGCGCACGGGUGAGUAACACGUAGGUAAUUUGCCAUCAGGACGGGGACAACCACGCGAAAGCGUAGCUAAUACCCGAUGAAGCAGCGGUGCCGCAUGGCAUUGUUGUUAAAUACCGCAAGGUGCCUGAUGAUAAACCUGCGUCCCAUUAGGUAGUUGGNGAGGUAACGGCUCACCAAGCCGACGAUGGGUAGCUGGUCUGAGAGGAUGAUCAGCCACACUGGAACUGAGACACGGUCCAGACUCCUACGGGAGGCAGCAGUGAGGAAUA
rnacentral:rRNA from 1 species